GAUUAACGCUAGCGGCAGGCCUAAUACAUGCAAGUCGAACGGCAGCGGGUGUAGCAAUACAUGCCGGCGAGUGGCGCACGGGUGCGUAACACGUAUGCAAUCUACCUUUAACUGGGGAAUAACCCCUCGAAAGAGGGGCUAAUACCGCAUAAUACUAUUUUGAGGCAUCUCAGGAUGGUCAAACUUACGGGGGUUAAAGAUGAGCAUGCUUCCGAUUAGCUAGUUGGCGGGGUAACGGCCCACCAAGGCAACGAUCGGUAGGGGAUCUGAGAGGAUGAUCCCCCACACUGGUACUGAGACACGGACCAGACUCCUACGGGAGGCAGCAGUAAGGAAUAUUGGACAAUGGGCGCAAGCCUGAUCCAGCCAUGCCGCGUGCAGGAUGAAAGUGCUCUGCACUGUAAACUGCUUUUACUUGGGAAGAAACCCCUGGUUUCCACCGGGGCUGAUUGUACCGAGAGAAUAAGGGACGGCUAACUUCGUGCCAGCCGCCGCGGUAACAC
rnacentral:rRNA from 1 species